UGGGAGUUCACAAAACUACAAGAGCGAAGGAAGGAAAAUGCCUCCCAUUUCUAUGGCCUGCAGACUUCAAAACCCGUAAUUGUGCUGCAAGUCUUUGAUCUCAACAUUACUCUCCUAUCGACUUUGAAGUCAGAAGCAUAGGGUUAUUGCAGUGGGAUGCUGAUGUGUCAAGUGUUAAUUCCCCAUAGCCGCAUUCAAGGCAUGCCAUAUUAGCUACUGACCACUAAGUGCUAAAGGGUGUAACCACACGUGGAGUUUUCUUCCUGCUCACAUCAGUAGUUUCGGUGCACCACUGUUUGUUACUAACAGAGAGGUCACUGCAGACCACUGACGCACAGGACCUCACAAAUGUGUUUUCUGGGACAAAUGAGCAAUUACAUAUUUUUAAUAAUCAAUUGUUACAGCUGAGCAGGAGUUAAAACGAUGUCAAAAAGUACAUGCGAACCUGAAUAGUAUCAAAUGCUAUCUUUGGAACCUAGGAGGGAGCCCAAGGAAGAGGACGGAUGGGCAGAGGCUGGAAUGCUGGGAGCUGUGCCUGCUGACCCCUGGCAUGGGACCUGGCCACCACAGAUCCCCAUCGCUCCACGGCACUGCUUCUAACUUUUGUCAUGCUGCAGUGAAGCAUCCCUGGAGUUUUGCAAGGGUUUUUACGUGGCCGGAGUGGCUUUCUUAUUUCAACCUCUUCAGCAUCGAUUGUUGAGUAGCUUCCUCAUCAUUAAAAGCUCAUCGAGGAGAAGGACUGAAAAUACAAAUGCACAGUGAUAAAGCAGAAUCAGCACAUGUUGUGGCACUCAGUGACUAAGCAGUAUCUACCUGGACAUCAUUAAUCUUCCAUGGUGUAGCAGUGAUGGUUUGAAGGGAACAGGACUCCUCUGGGCUGGUACAGCCCCUCACCAGCUCUGUGGUUGAGAAGCUUGCUGCAGUCACCACGGCCUUCGGAUGCCCCAAGGGCACGGGCAGAGAGGAAUGAGGGCGGCGAGAGCGCAGGCAGCUGUGAGCACACUGCAAUGUCAUGCUGCAGCACAGCAAAUGCCAGCACCGAACCAGAGAGAAAAGCGACAGCAUUUGGGGAUCACUAAAUGGAGGACUGGGUAUUGAGAGCUUUGUAUUGCCCAGCAGUGA
rnacentral:lncRNA from 1 species